rnacentral:ncRNA from 1 species
AAGGGGCAAACCUAUCGAAAGGUGGGGACGCAAAGCUACAGUUCUAAAGUGGGUAAAAAAUCCUAUCAAGGUGGCUGAGUUACCGU